rnacentral:rRNA from 1 species
GAUGAACGCUGGCGGCGUGCCUAAUACAUGCAAGUCGAGCGAACAGACGAGGAGCUUGCUCCUCUGACGUUAGCGGCGGACGGGUGAGUAACACGUGGAUAACCUACCUAUAAGACUGGGAUAACUUCGGGAAACCGGAGCUAAUACCGGAUAAUAUAUUGAACCGCAUGGUUCAAUAGUGAAAGACGGUUUUGCUGUCACUUAUAGAUGGAUCCGCGCCGCAUUAGCUAGUUGGUAAGGUAACGGCUUACCAAGGCAACGAUGCGUAGCCGACCUGAGAGGGUGAUCGGCCACACUGGAACUGAGACACGGUCCAGACUCCUACGGGAGGCAGCAGUAGGGAAUCUUCCGCAAUGGGCGAAAGCCCGACGGAGCAACGCCGCGUGAGUGAUGAAGGUCUUCGGAUCGUAAAACUCUGUUAUUAGGGAAGAACAAAUGUGUAAGUAACUAUGCACGUCCUGACGGUACCUAAUCAGAAAGCCACGGCUAACUACGUG